GACGAACGCUGGCGGCGUGCCUAAUACAUGCAAGUCGAGCGGACAGAUGGGAGCUUGCUCCCUGAUGUUAGCGGCGGACGGGUGAGUAACACGUGGGUAACCUGCCUGUAAGACUGGGAUAACUCCGGGAAACCGGGGCUAAUACCGGAUGGUUGUUUGAACCGCAUGGUUCAAACAUAAAAGGUGGCUUCGGCUACCACUUACAGAUGGACCCGCGGCGCAUUAGCUAGUUGGUGAGGUAACGGCUCACCAAGGCAACGAUGCGUAGCCGACCUGAGAGGGUGAUCGGCCACACUGGGACUGAGACACGGCCCAGACUCCUACGGGAGGCAGCAGUAGGGAAUCUUCCGCAAUGGACGAAAGUCUGACGGAGCAACGCCGCGUGAGUGAUGAAGGUUUUCGGAUCGUAAAGCUCUGUUGUUAGGGAAGAACAAGUACCGUUCGAAUAGGGCGGUACCUUGACGGUACCUAACCAGAAAGCCACGGCUAACUACGUGCCAGCAGCCGCGGUAAUACGUAGGUGGCAAGCGUUGUCCGGAAUUAUUGGGCGUAAAGGGCUCGCAGGCGGUUUCUUAAGUCUGAUGUGAAAGCCCCCGGCUCAACCGGGGAGGGUCAUUGGAAACUGGGGAACUUGAGUGCAGAAGAGGAGAGUGGAAUUCCACGUGUAGCGGUGAAAUGCGUAGAGAUGUGGAGGAACACCAGUGGCGAAGGCGACUCUCUGGUCUGUAACUGACGCUGAGGAGCGAAAGCGUGGGGAGCGAACAGGAUUAGAUACCCUGGUAGUCCACGC
rnacentral:rRNA from 1 species